rnacentral:rRNA from 1 species
UACCAGCACCCCGAGUGGUCGGGACGAUUAUUGGGCCUAAAGCAUCCGUAGCCGGUACUGCAAGUCUUCCGUUAAAUCCACCUGCUUAACAGUUGGGCUGCGGGGGAUACUACAGCGCUAGGAGGCGGGAGAGGCAAGCGGUACUCAAUGGGUAGGGGUAAAAUCCGCUGAUCCAUUGAAGACCACCAGUGGCGAAGGCGGCUUGCCAGAACGCGCUCGACGGUGAGGGAUGAAAACUGGGGGAGCAAACCGG